rnacentral:tRNA from 4 species
ACUUUUAAAGGGUAGAAGUCAUCCACUGGCCUUAGGCGCC